CUUCCACCGCCAUCUGAUUCACUUCAUUUGUUUCUUCCUUCUUUAUUUUUCAUUUGUUUUCCUUCUUUUGCUCUGUUCUAUGGGGCUGGAGAAUCGAAGAAGAAAACAGAGCAAGAGAUGGAAAGGGAGACAGAGAGAGCUGGGGGAAGAAAAAGAGCAAAAACGGAUCAUGGAGAUUGAAACCUUGCACUCUGAAGUGUUGACUGAAUUUGUUAUCUCUGAGGGGUGUUAGAUAAGUUUCUAGCUGCACAGAAGAACCAUUUUUGAUAUCGGGAAUCGGUUCGGAGAAGUAGAAAUACACCGAGUUGAAAUCUUGAAGACCAAUCGCAAAGAGAACAAUAAAAAUUUGGAUAAGCAAGUGGAAAGGAUGAUAGCUACUAGCUCUAAGAUCAAUAUAAUUUUCGUUAUACAUCCAUUAAGAAGCAUGUAGUUUUUUCUUUUGUAUUCAAUUUUAUGUAGGACAUGAUACAUAGAACGGAUUAUUAUAUAUGAGAUGAUAUAUAUUCCAUUCUUUUAUG